UACUCGCUUCGAAUUAUACUCUAAUAUCAUACUUAUCAUGAAGAAUAUCACACAUUUUCAAACGUAAAAGAUACCAAAAAAAAAAAAAAAAAAAAGAAGACCGAUAACUUCAUUACAUCAAAAUCGCCAUCCUUCCCUUUGUCCCGGUACUCGAAAUUUAUCCGAAAGAUGGAACAAAGGCAUGGAGAGUACCGACGAAUAUUUCAAAGGAAUAGAAGUCGUGUAGUCUCUUCUCCUCAAACAAAUGGUAACCUUAUUUCAAAAACCGAAUUAACUUCCAGAUCUAAUACGUUCGAGGCAAGUUUUACCCGAACUUGAUGUAUAUUCAUGAAGUUUAUUUUCAGUCUCGAUAAGCGGAAUAUACGGUUAAUUUCGCUUGAUAUUGCUUUGUAAUUUCCUCUUUGAAAAUUUCU